UACGUAGGGAGCGAGCGUUGUCCGGAAUUAUUGGGCGUAAAGAGCUCGUAGGCGGUGUGUCACGUCGGCCGUGAAAACCUGCAGCUUAACUGUGGGCGUGCGGUCGAUACGGGCAUCACUGGAGUUCGGCAGGGGAGACUGGAAUUCCUGGUGUAGCGGUGAAAUGCGCAGAUAUCAGGAGGAACACCGGUGGCGAAGGCGGGUCUCUGGGCCGAUACUGACGCUGAGGAGCGAAAGCGUGGGGAGCGAACAGG
rnacentral:rRNA from 1 species